rnacentral:snRNA from 1 species
AUCGCUUCUCGGCCUUUUGGCUAAGAUCAAGUGUAGUAUCAAAAGAGAAGGGGGGGGCGUAUAAUUUUGACUAUUAACUGUCCAGAGAGAUAAUUCUAAUUAAUUUUAGAGAGUUUUUGAAUUUAGAAACUGUAAAGAUUUCUUAUCUUCUACUUUUCUGCACGUCCCUUAGAGAAAAUUCUA